rnacentral:rRNA from 1 species
GAAAGCGUGGGGAGCGAACAGGAUUAGAUACCCUGGUAGUCCACGCCGUAAACGGUGGGCACUAGUUGUGGGGACCUUCCACGGUCUCUGCGACGCAGCUAACGCAUUAAGUGCCCCGCCUGGGGAGUACGAUCGCAAGAUUAAAACUCAAAGGAAUUGACGGGGCCCCGCACAAGCAGCGGAGCAUGCGGCUUAAUUCGACGCAACGCGAAGAACCUUACCAAGGCUUGACAUAUACAGGAAUAUGGCAGAGAUGUCAUAGCCGCAAGGUCUGUAUACAGGUGGUGCAUGGUUGUCGUCAGCUCGUGUCGUGAGAUGUUGGGUUAAGUCCCGCAACGAGCGCAACCCUCGUUCUGUGUUGCCAGCAUUUAGUUGGGGACUCACAGGAGACUGCCGGGGUUAACUCGGAGGAAGGUGGGGAUGACGUCAAAUCAUCAUGCCCCUUAUGUCUUGGGCUGCACGCAUGCUACAAUGGCUGGUACAAACGGCUGCAAUACCGCAAGGUGGAGCGAAUCCGAGAAAGCCAGUCUCAGUUCGGAUUGGGGUCUGCAACUCGACCCCAUGAAGUCGGAGUUGCUAGUAAUCGUAGAUCAGCAACGCUACGGUGAAUACGUUCCCGGGGCUUGUACACACCGCCCGUCACGUCACGAAAGUCGGUAACACCC